UGGAAGUAUAGAUAUGCUGGGCGUAUAUAAAAUAAUGGUUUUGACGUGAACAACACAAAUCACUUCUAAUUACGAACAAAAAUGCCUCGCAUUGUUAUUGUCUGUCUAGCAGUUUGCCUGGUCCAAAUUGCCAAGGCUAAGGAAUGUGGUACAAAUGAAGAGUACGUAAUACACAUGGGAUGCGAACCAUUCUGUGGUAAACCCGCCGACGCCUUGACCCCUUGUAUCCACAAUCCUUUCUGGGGUUGGGAAUGCAGAUGCAAAAAUGGAUUUUUACGAAAUCCCUCUAGCAACGAGUGUAUAGAAGAGAAAGACUGCCCAAAGCAAAUAUAAACAUUUUGAUUGUGCCAUUGUAUAGCAAUAAACAUAAUUUAUUAAAGUAAUAAUUACCACAAUAUAAAAACAA